UUGUGCUGGUGCUCAGUAUGAAGCGAGGCACUCAGCUUCAGAACACAUACCCAAGAUGUUGAGGAGAAAGAAAUUUAAUGUAAAACUGCCACAGGAAAAUAGCUUUCAUUCUGCCCCUUUACCUCUAUGUGGAUGCUAAAGAAAAAUUUGUAUGUCCAAAGCAUCUAUUGGCAUGAGAUGUAGCAACACGUGUAACAUACAUUCACCCUGACUGUCUCAAAUUUAUGGUUUUAGAUUUUAUGAAGAACUUCUUGGCUGUUCUUGGUGGAAGCUUUUAAAUAUACUACUAAUUGGCAUUAUUGUGAUUACUUCCUUAGAGAGGUUCAAGGAAAGUGUAUUUCCUUAUUUUGGGGGGACUGUUAAAGGAUCAUUGGAGUCCCUGAGUCGUAUAAAUGGUUAAGGUACUUGGCUGCUAAUUGUAAGUUUGGAGGUUCGAUUCCACCCUGGGUGCCUAAGAAGAAAGCCCUAGGAAUCGACUUCUGAAAAACAGCCAUUAAAAACCCUAUGGAGUGCAGUUCUACUCUGACAUACACGGGGUUGCCAUGAGUUUGAGUCAACUCCAUUGGCAACAGGUUAAAGGAUCAAUAUUUCUGGAGGUAGAGGAAUAAACUGUAUUUCCCUUCUAGGGAAGAUUUCCUAUAAAUCUAACCAAAAGCUUAGAGUGACAUUGACUGAGAUAGAAGGGCAGGACAUAAAUGCAAUGACCCAUAUGUCCACUUCUAAAAACACUGCCCUGUGACUUGGCACUCUGAGAGUCUUUUAAGUCUGCUUUGUUGAGCCUUGUAAUGGGAAAGGUCUGAGUCAACAGAAAACUGAAGUGUCCCAGUCUUAAAAACACAGCAGAGAUGGAAAUAUCCAGUCAUUUGGGCUUCUACCUCUGGGCCCAUGUUUUCCAUUUUAUGAAUCUUAAACAUUUCAUCUAGUUCUCCAGCUCUACUUUCUAUUGUCUGGGAAAAUCCAAGUGAAAGGAUGUAAAUCCAAUAUGCAGGCCAGAGGUGGUGCUAAAGGCUUGUUAAGUAAGUCAGUUAACAGAACUCACUGACAAAACCAUGAAGAGAAGACAGUGAUAAAAACUCAAUGCUUUAUGCAGCUACUUUCCCACGACCCAGGUGACAUGAAGUAGAAUGAGUAGUUUGGUGGGUCUCUGUGUGGGUGCAUUUCUGGGGGAAGAUUUGUGAACUCGACAGAUAGAAUUCAGAUCUCAAAUAGGUCCAAUUGGGGGUGGAAAAGGAUUCUGCCAGUAGUCAGAAUUAUUACCUUUAAUUUCCUGCACAAAAUGGAAGUAGAUUUAAUCUACUCAUCUCUGUGAAAUAAGAACUCCUAUUAUAUUUUUCCUUUCUCUUGAAAUAAAAAAUAGAUAAAAUACAUCAGUGUUGGGAGAUCUUUUCAUAAGUUCUGCAAUCGAUAUUAAAUUUGGUGCUAAACAAUAAUAGUAACAAUAAUAACUAGCUUAUGUUAAGUUCUUAUGCGCAAGGCAGUAUUCUAAGUAAUUUUCAUUAAGUAACUUAAUAAAUGUGCCUCAGAAGUCCUGAUGGAUGCUGUGCCUGAAAGUAGACCUCUGGUAUACCAUAUUCAAUGGUGCUAAGUGAUCCCUGCCAUUAUGGCCAUGAACUGCUACUUUCAGCCUGUGUUCCUAAAACUCAUGGACUCUAGGAAUUUUGUGAUCUCAUCAAAGGGGAAAAGGGCAAGAUAAGUCAGGGACAGAAAGGCUCUGAAUCAAUCAUUUCAACCUUUGCACAUGCUUUAGAAAGAACAGAGUUCCCAAGAAGAUUGACUUGGUUCAGGCACCAUUGGCAAACUUCUCAAGAAAGUCUUCUCAGCCUGCCCCUCAGCUACUAUGUUGCGUGAAGCUUUAUGGAAAUGUUGACAUGAGAAGGAACUAAAGCCUCUGGCCAAUAUCCAUAGAGGAAUUGAGACCUGCCCAAAACCCCAUAAAUGAGCUUGAAAGCACAUUCUCAAGCCCUGGGCCAGCCUUGAGACGAUUGUAGCCCCAGCUGACAACGUACUGCAACCUCAGAACCACCCAGCUAAGCCACUCCCAGAUUCCUGACCAUCAGAAACAGCAUGAAAUAAUAAAGAUGUCUGCUCCGGAGAAGAGCUGAGGUGUGAUUGAAGAUGAAGCUGAAGUGUUAAGCCUGAAAGGAGUCUAAGGUCAGGGCUAGUUGAUGGGGCUUUGACUGCAGCCUCAGCAGAACCCAGCUGACCUCUUGAUCAGCACAUGCCAAGUAAUGCUCCCCAUGCCCCCGAAAACCUGCAGGUCUGGAAAUCCUAGGCCCUUCUUUACAACAUGGAGCUUUUGAGAGGGACCUGAGGACAUGGAUAAAGGGACAAAUAUAUGUGAAGAACAUUGAUCUUUUCUUUCUGUCCAAUUGUUCUGACAAGGUUAGAGUGAGGAUCAAGAAGCUCACCAACAAGCUUCCUGUUGGAAAAAAUUAUAUCACCAAAGGAAAUGAUAUUUCAAAGAAUUGAAUGGAAGAAGAACAUUUAAAGGUCAGAAGAUAGAAUUUAAGCGUUGAUGAUGACUUUUUCUUGGCCCUAAUCCUCAACUCUAUAGACAUCAGCAAGUCACACCUAGAAGAUAUGCAAAGGGAAGGGCAUCUGGCAACCAGACUUCUGCACAGGUUUGUUGAUUUUACUCCAGUAUCAGGGCUUGGCCAGGCUCCUGGGUCCACCCAUGCCUUUCCAUGUCCACAGCCCCAUUUAACCCAUGUGCUUCUUGCUUCCCCUCCUUGCCCUACUGCCAUUCCUUUCCUUCCUGCUAAACUCAGUUUAAAAAAAUCACUUGUCUAUUAAGCCUUUUUUAAAUUCAUUCCUAUCCAUCCUGAUUUUAAUGGAUUAGUCCAUUAUUCUGUUUAACACUUAUGCCUGACUUUUAUUUUACCAUCCACAGCAUUGUUGAAGAGCUUGUGUUUGUCAGGCUUUAGCAUAAAGAAAGCAUUGAGACAAGGUGCUUAACAUCAAAGAACUUGAAGCUGAGAUGGGGGGGGGGCAAGAUAUUUAUGUAAACUUGAUGCAUAAUAACUCACUUUACUAAGAAAUGCCAUUGGAUUUCACAGGAAGGAACAAUACUUGUAAUCUGCUAUGUUUAGGAAAGUAGCUAUGUAGGAAAUUAGCUUUCAUCUUCAAAGAAGAAUGAGAUUUAUCUACAUGGAGACAGGAAGUGUAUUACAUGCAGAGGUGAGCAAGCUGAGAAGGCAGGAGAGCCAUUGGCAUGUAUAGAAAUAGAGAUCUUGAUUAAACAGAGUUAGCUAAAGGAACCAUUUUAGUAGUGAGGAGGAAUAUUAUAUUGGGAAUAGAUCGGGAACCUGGAGGGGGCAGAUGUUACAGGGUAGUUUAAAGCCUUGAAAAACAAGAGAGUAUUAGUUUUUCUGUAGGUACUGGGAUGCUAUCACAGAUUACAGAUUACUAUUACUGAAAUGCUAUUGCCAACAGGGAAAUGAUGUGCCCAAUGUUGUGCUUUGGGAAUAUGGUCCUGGAAGUUGUAUAUAAAGUAGACUGGAAGGAGAAGAAGUGGAACCAAAGGGACCACUAACUGUCAUAAUCUGGUUGUGUGACAGUAAGGGCUUAGACUAGGGACAGUAGAUUUAUAUGUCGCUUCAUACAUUUGUUCCAUACAUUUAUGUUAUGUUUAUAAAUGCCUGGUAAGUCAGGGCCAUUUUAUUUCCCUUGCUUUCAUAGCACACCCUCUCCUGAGUAUACAGUGUUCGGAACUAAAUGUCUGUGGUGAGUAAACGUUUUCAUUAUUAUCACUAUGUACAUUUUGAUCAGGCUUAGCUGCUCCAAAUAGGUUUUAAACACACAAGAUUGGUAAGGACAAUCAAGUAAAAAUUUGUCAUGUGCGAUAUACUUUCUAUGCAAUAUACCCUCUAGAGCUGAGUGUGCAGUGCCACUUAGAUUAGAUCAAUCAUGUUAGAGCUGUGAAUCCUGAGGGGUGUUUUGGAAGAUAGAGCAGGGAGAGGCCCAAGAACCACUGUCAUACUUUUAGAGCUCUAGAAAUGUACUACCUCAUCAGGCUUCAAGACUCAUCCUUCUCCAGAAGAAUAUGCAUUUCACUACAAGGUCAUGGUAGUGUUUACAGUUAACAGAUGGGAGAAAUUGAUGCUAAAUUUGAAAAACUCUGAGGCCAUCUGUCUGCCUACUCCAUGGAAAGUAUCAGUCCCUAUUACAGAUUUAGGCUGAGUUUAUAUGCCAAUCUAGGAGUCCCGUUGUGAUGCAAACAGUAAACAUGCUCAGCUGCUGACAAGAAGGUUAGAAGUUCAAGUCCACCCAGAGAUCCCUCAGAAGAAAGCCUGGCAAUCUACUUGUGAAAAAUCUAUCAUUGAAAACCCUACUCUGACACACAUGGGAUCAUCAUGAGUCAGAGUC